rnacentral:rRNA from 1 species
GACGAACGCUGGCGGCGUGCCUAAUACAUGCAAGUUGAGCGCUGAAGGUUGGUACUUGUCCCAACUGGAUGAGCAGCGAACGGGUGAGUAACGCGUGGGGAAUCUGCCUUUGAGCGGGGGACAACAUUUGGAAACGAAUGCUAAUACUGCAUAAAAACUUUAAACACAAGUUUUAAGUUUGAAAGAUGCAAUUGCAUCACUCAAAGAUGAUCCCGCGUUGUAUUAGCUAGUUGGUGAGGCAAAGGCUCACCAAGGCGAUGAUACAUAGCCGACCUGAGAGGGUGAUCGGCCACAUUGGGACUGAGACACGGCCCAAACUCCUACGGGAGGCAGCAGUAGGGAAUCUUCGGCAAUGGACGAAAGUCUGACCGAGCAACGCCGCGUGAGUGAAGAAGGUUUUCGGAUCGUAAAACUCUGUUGGUAGAGAAGAACGUUGGUGAGAGUGGAAAGCUCAUCAAGUGACGGUAACUACCCAGAAAGGGACGGCUAACUACGUG